ACGGAAGGCAGCAGUGGGGAAUAUUGGGCAAUGGGGGAAACCCUGACCCAGCAACGCCGCGUGAAGGAAGAAGGCCUUCGGGUUGUAAACUUCUUUUACCAGGGACGAAGGACGUGACGGUACCUGGAGAAAAAGCAACGGCUAACUACGUGCCAGCAGCCGCGGUAAUACGUAGGUUGCAAGCGUUGUCCGGAUUUACUGGGUGUAAAGGGCGUGUAGGCGGAGAUGCAAGUUGGGAGUGAAAUCCAUGGGCUCAACCCAUGAACUGCUCUCAAAACUGUAUCCCUUGAGUAUCGGAGAGGCAAGCGGAAUUCCUAGUGUAGCGGUGAAAUGCGUAGAUAUUAGGAGGAACACCAGUGGCGAAGGCGGCUUGCUGGACGACAACUGACGCUGAGGCGCGAAAGCGGGGGGAGCAAACAGGAUUAGAUACCCUGGUA
rnacentral:rRNA from 1 species